CGGGUGAGUAACGCGUGAGGAACCUGCCUCAAAGAGGGGGGAAACAGUUGGAAACGACUGCUAAUACCGCAUAAGCCCACGGCUCGGCAUCGAGCAGAGGGAAAAGGAGCAAUCCGCUUUGAGAUGGCCUCGCGUCCGAUUAGCUAGUUGGUGAGGUAACGGCCCACCAAGGCGACGAUCGGUAGCCGGACUGAGAGGUUGAACGGCCACAUUGGGACUGAGACACGGCCCAG
rnacentral:rRNA from 1 species